GGGGCCUGGGGGCCUGGCGCUGCCGCAGGCUCCUUGUGGGCUUGGCUACAGGAGAACUGCGGUGCCUCUUCCUCCCUCCUUCCUUCCCUCCAUCCCUCCCUCCUUUCUUUCUUUCUUCCCUUCUUUCUUUUCUUUUCUUUUCUUUUCUUUUCUUUUCUUUUCUUGUAAAAGCAGAGACAACCUCUGCCACCCCCCAUUGCCAUGAUAACUGCAGGGGACAAGCAAUUUCACACAGUAAUUUCACAUGCCUGGAGAUGCGCUUAUAGCUCAAGUCAGCGAAUUGUUUAUUAAGCGAAGAGGACGUGCGAGAAGCGCAGCUGAGAGGCAAUACAAUGACUGGACUUGCAAAUCUCCCAGCCGGGGAUGUGCUGUUCUGGAAGGGGAUGUGAAGUGUCUCUGAGUUUGAACGUCGUGAGUCUGAUUCUGCUCUUAGCCUGUACACUAGGAGUCAGGAAUGACUCCGUUGAAGUCAAAGGAGAUACGCCAGUGCAAAACUGGUGCAACGGAGAGAAAGGGUUCCCUAGCAUCACACCGGGGGAUUGGAUCCCUUCACCUAUCUGUACUCUGGAGGUCUCCCAUCCAAAAUGGAGCCAGCCCAUUGCUUGAGGUGGAAUGACUGCAGGCCACGAGCAUUCUUCUUUCCAAGGAUAAAAUAAUCCAAUGCCCUUGGAGAGUGCCGGACAAAUGCAUCGCCUAGCCUUUCGCUUUAAUCCAAUUGCGGUCGCUUCCCAGAACUCCCUCCUGAAAGCUGGCAGUGCAGUCUCCAGUACCUUUAUGUUCCCAGGUAAAAGAGCCGUAGCGCAAAGAGGAUGGAAAGCACAUUUCAGAACAGCAAUUCCUUACUGCCGAGCUGAAGGAUGUCACUGAACUGUGAGAAAGCAGGGAAGGAAGAAGGAACUCUCCUUUGCUGUCAGAAUCCUUAAGAGAGCAUUAGGAGAGAGGCUGUGUUCAGGGCUGCAUCUUGAGUAAAUCCUGGUUUAGCUGAUUG